UCAUUUGUAUUUUCUUUAUCUUUCCUGGUCACUAUAAAAGUGAGGCCCAUGUAUGUAAUAGGACAAUUAUUCAUUUUCAGAUAUACAGAAUAAUUGUUGCUCUCAAAGCUUUUGCUCUCAGUAAACAUGGCGUAAGGCCUGGUUCUCAAUCUUUCUUAUUCUUCUGCUUUUUUCUCAUGUUAACAUGGUAUCAGAGCCGAGAUCCUUCUAAAUCUCAUGCUGAGAGUUCGAUUGAUCCCACACUCAUCCUCCAUCGUUGGUUUUAUGUAUACUUCGUCCGAUUUUUGAUUUUUUGAGAUUCGUGGUUUGGUGGUGCUUUUCUGCUCGAUUUCUUCUCCAAUACCGUGUUCAACCAUCUUCUAUAGUGCAUAGCAGCAGUGAAUUUCAUUUUCAGACGAUUUCAAGGAUUUCGAUUGAAAUUAAGGUUUUGCUUGUAUCAGAAUUCUAUGAUGGCGGUUGAUAUUGAAGUGUUUUUCUGGUUGAAGGUCGUAGCUCUUUCCGGUUGCAAAAGAGAUUGGUAACAUCAACUUCAUCUUUCACUACAUCUUUGUAUUUCUACUUGCAUGACCUAGGUUCUCUAUAUAAUUGAUUGUCAAUCUGAUAACAUGGCCAGCGGAACUCCUGAUUCUUCUUCAACUCCAGCUAUUUCUCGCACUGUCUUCCAUGAGGAUGAUUAUACUCAUCCAUGUCAUCCUCUCUAUGUAUACCCAUCAGAUGUUUUGGGGACCUCGUUGGUCUCCACUCCGUUUGAUGGAACAGGAUAUGGACGUUGGAGGCGUAAUAUUCUUAUUGCACUUUCAAUUAGAAACAAACUAGAUUUUAUAAAUGGAAACUCCCAGAAACCUUCACCUACUUCACUCUUGCCAGACAAUGGCAGAGGUGUAAUGACCUUGUCAUUUCAUGGUUAGUAAACUCCUUGUCUAAAGAAAUAUCUCGCAGUGCGGAGUAUUCAGAGUUUGCUAGGCAAAUUUGGAAUUAGUUAGAAGAGAGAUAUGGUAAGGCUGAUGGUGUUAGAGUUUUUGAACUUAAGAAAGAGUUAGCACAUAUUUCCCAGGGGUCUCUUGACAUAGCCUCAUAUUUCAAUAAAAUCAAACAAUUAUGGGAUGAAAUAGCUUCCAUAUCUGCUGGUCAAACUAGGGUGUGUUCUUGUGGGGCUAAGUCUGCUGAAGAUGAGGAAUAGAGGGCUUAUCAGUUCUUAAUGGGUUUAAAUGAUACGUAUGUCCAAACCAGAAGCAAUAUUCUCAUGAUGAAACCACUUCCUUCAGUUGGAGCUGUGUAUAGCAUUCUAUUGUCUGAUGAGAAGCAGAGGAAUGUGUCUGCUGCAACUCAGUUUCCUUCUACUUCUGCAUCCUUUAAUGUUAGAGAGUCCAGGCAGAGUUACCCUUCUAAAGUGAAUUUUGAAUCAUCUAAACCAAAUGUCACCUGCAAGUACUGUAAGAAACCUGGACAUACUAUAGAAAAAUUCUACAAACUCCGUGGUUAUCCCCCAAGUUUCAAGUUCACUAAAACUCCUAACAUUAGAAAAACUGCUGCACAUGUUGAGCUCACCAACCAUCCUGAAUCUAGGACUGGUGACAUCCCUACUGAGCAUGGUACUCUUCCACAGUCUGAAGAUAUGUCUGCUAUCCCUGGGUUUACCAAGGAUCAGUACUCUCAAUUGAUGAUGUUACUUCAACAGUCACACCUGUCUCCUUCUCCAUCUACCUCAAGCCUAAUGGGGUCAGCCAAUUUUGCUGGUGAGUUAAUUCCUCCCGGUGUGUCUUAUGGUGCAUGUAUGUUGACCAAAGUGGAUCGUAUAGUAUGGAUCAUAGACUCUGGAACUUCUGACCAUAUGACUUCCACAAAAAGUUUACUCUUUAAUGUCCAAACCUUACCUGUUCCAUACCUUGUCUUUAUUCCAAAUGGUUAUAAAGUCAAGGUUACCAAUAUUGGGUCAUUGGCUCUAUUUCCUAAUUUGAUAUUGCACAAUGUACUUUAUGUUCCUAGUUUUUAGUAUAAUCUCAUUUAUGUCUACAAAUUACUUUCUCAUUCUGAUGACAUAGUACAGUUUACCAAGGCUGCUUGUACUUUAUAGGGCCCUUCAGUGAGGAAGCUAGUGGUACUUGGUAAGCUGGACAAUGAACUCUACAAGUUGUUCCAGUCUCUCAUUGCUCCUAAUCCAGAUUUUCCCCCUAAUCAUUCUGCUCUUUCAAAUAUUUCAAUUUCUAACUCUUCUGUUCAUGCUAAUGUAAUUGAUGAAUGGUCACCUGUAAAUACCAUAUCAGCUAUUGAUAAUAUGAAUAAAGCUGAAGUUGUUUGGCAUUACAGACUCAGUCAUAUUCCUUUCUCCAAGCUGAAAACUAUAUCUGCUUUAAAUUGUAAAUUUCCUCUUAAACAAUCCUUUAACUGUCCUGUUUGUCCAUUAGCCAGGCAAACAAGACCGUCUUUCCCUGAUAGUAGUAUACAGUCCACUCACCCAUUUCAGUUAAUUCACAUAGAUACUUGGGGACCUUAUCACACACCCACAUAUAAUGAUUCCAAAUAUUUCUUGACCAUUAUUGAUGAUUUCUCAAGGGCCACUUGGACCCAUCUUAUGGGAGCCAAGAGUAAUGCUUUUGAUUUACUCAAGGCUUUCAUUGCCAUGGUUGAAACUCAAUUCCAUACUAAGGUUCAGGCUGUCAGAAGUGAUAAUGCCUUAGAAUUGGGGUCUACUACUUCAGGUUCUAUUUUCUUCUCUGAAAAAGGAAUUCAACAUCAGAUUUCCUGUCCACACACUCCUCAACAGAAUGGAGUGGUGGAAAGGAAGCACAACCAUUUGCUUGAAAUUGCCAGAGCCCUGUUGUUUCAAUCCCAUCUUCCCAUUAGAUUCUGGGGUGACUGUCUUCUAACUGCAACCUACUUGAUCAAUAGAUUUCCAUCCCCUCUCCUGAAUCACAAAAGCCCUUAUGAGUUGUUAUAUGGUUCUGUUCCCUCUUACUCUCAUCUUAAAGCCUUUGAUUGUUUGUGUUACUCUACUGUAACUAAGUUGCACAAGGACAAAUUUUCUCCCAGAUCUAUCCCAUGUGUAUUUGUGGGUUAUAACUUUACUAAGAAAGGUCAUAAACUCUAUAGCCUCACCUCCAAAACCUGCUUCCACUACAACAAAUAUGAUAUUUAGCUACAAAAUUUUUAGCUACUAUACAAAAUUUGUCACUAAUUGUUAACUUUUUGUGACGAAAGUUACCUUUUUGUGUCUAAAUACACGAGUCACAUACUUUUAGUGACGAAGUACAAAAUUUUGUAGCAAUGUUUUGUCCACUAAUGUUUCCCUCCAAAAAAUGAGUUGGCGCCAUUUACUAAGAAAUAUUUAGCUACAAAGAUAAUGCUAUUAGUGACGAAACUUUUUUUGCAUUGACAUCGUAUAUCAUUCGUGACGAAAUAUCUUUUGUCUUAAUAAAUGCUUAAAUUCAGAUACGAAAAAGUUUUGUCACAAUUUUGUUUUUGUUAAAAUAGCAAAAUUUAAAAAUUUGUAGCUAAAUAAUGCGAACUUUAGCUACAAAACAUCGUACUUAUUGUGACCAUAGUUUUUGUCACUAAUAAAGUAGAUAAUUUGUGACGAUCAUUUUGUUGUCCUUAUAUAAUACUUAAUUUAGCCACGAUGAGGUUUUGUCUCAAAAAAUAUAGUAUCUAGCUAGCUACAACUAGAAAUUCGUCACAACUCACUCAAUUUUUUGUGAUAAAUAUUAGAUUUCAUAUUUGGAUGUACUAAUAUAGGGAUGAUAUUCAAAUUUUAUAACAAACUUUUUCUAAUAAGAUUUCCUACCAAAAAAAUAUUAAAUACCAUUUACGGAUUAAUAUUUACCUACAAAAAUGAAAUUGCUGAUCACACAUUAUUUUAUCGUUGACCUUGUGUACGAUUUGUGACGAAAAUAAAAAUAUUUAUUUCAAGUUGUUACAAUUAAAUUCAGAAAGAAGAAAAAAGGUUAGUAACCACCUAUUGGUUUUUAUAUUAUGAUAAUUAGAAUUUAUAGUCAAAUUGUGCAUUUUUUGGCCAUGAAAAAUCUUGUACCUAUUCAUGGUGAUAAUUGUUGGUAUUAUUUAUCUAAACGGGGGGGAGGGGGGGGGGGGGGUUGAUUGCAUUAUUUCACAGAAUUUACAAAAUUAUGUGUCUAAUUAACUACAACUAGAAUUUCUAACACUAUAAAAGCAAAAAAGAAAUAUAUUCAAAUAUGCCACUGAACUUUGAGAAAGACCCAAAUAUAUUAUGUGUCAAUAGUUGAGGUCAAAUAUACUCAAUGUUGUUACAUAAUUUGUUUAAAUAUACCCUUAUUCGAAGAUGUCCAACAUGUGAUUUUUAUUUUUAUUUUUUGCAAGGGAAAAAGGCUCAGAAUUGACUUUAAACUAGCGUACAUUACAAACAGUUUGACAUAUAACUAUAUAUAGUCAAACAUCUCUAUCAUAAGUAUACUCUAUUAUAACGACCCAGUCGGUCGUUUCAUGAGUUACCGCUCUGUUUCCCCCAAUUCUGCUUUUUAUUGCCUUGUUCAGCUGUAUUUUGUGUUAUCAGGUUGGUUGGCUCGGGUUGGAAGAGGUUUUGGUAAGGUUUGAGGCACUUAGUCUCUUUUGAGUAAGCUUAAGUUGGAAAAGUCAACCGGAUGUUGACUUAUGUGUCAAAGGGCUCGGAUUUAAGUUCCGAUAGCUUCGGGAGGUAAUUUGGGUUUUAAGAGUGUGAUCGGAAUGUGUUUUGGAGGUACAAAGUAGAUUUAGGCUUGAAUUGGCGAAAUUAGAAUUUUUGCGUUUUCCGGUUGAUAGGUAAGAUUUUGAUAUAGGGUUCGGAAUGGAAUUCCGGAAGUUGCAGUAGGUCCGUUGUGUCAUUUGAGAUGUGUGUGCAAAAUUUCAGAUCAUUCGGACGUGGUUUGGUAGACUUUUUGAUCGAAAGCGGAAUCUAGAAGAUUUUGGAAUUCUUAGGCUUGAAUCCGAUGCAAAUUUGCUGUUUUGAUGUUGUUUUGAGUGUUCCAAAGGUUGGAACAAGUUUGAAUGAUAUUAUGGGAUAGGUUGGAAUGUUUGGUUGAGGUCCCGAGGGUCUCGGGUGAGUUUAAGGUGGUUAAACGGACCAUUUCAUGUUGAAAAAAAUUGUAGAAAAAUCUGUUGUAGUGUUUCAGACAGCAGUGCCUCGCGUUUGCGAGUGGACCCUCGCAUUCGCGAAGGGCUAGAGUGUGAGGCUGAAGGUUUGUCCUUCGCGAAGGAGGUCCCGCAUUCGCGAAGGAUUGGGGUCGUCAAGCUACGUGUUCGCGAGAGGAGAGCCGCGUUCGCGAUGGGCUGGGAAGCUGAGCUCUCGCGUUUGCGAGGGUGGAGACGCGUUCGGGAAAAAGGGAUUUUGUUCAACUUAAAUUUGAACUUAACGAAUGCGAGGCUUUGACCACGUUUGCGAUAAAGAAAUGUUAAGUGCUGGGCAGAAUGUUUAAAAGACCUAUUUCCGCGAUUUGGGGUCUAAGUUCCUCCAUUUUUGGGCGAUUUUGAAGCUUUUUGAAGGGGAUUGAAGAAGGAAUCAAGGGGGAACACCUUGAGGUAAGAUUUAUGGACUUAACACUCAAUCCUAAUGUAAUUUAUACCUAAUUAAUCAUGAAAAUUGUUGAAUUUAAGCCUAAAUAUUGAAGAACUAUGGCUUGUAAUUGGAGACCUAAAAUUAGGGAUUUGAGGGACCAUUUGUGAUUGGAUUUUGAUGAUUUUGAUAUGAAUGAACUCGGGGAGUGAUAAGGAGUCUAUUGAUAUAAUUUUUAUCGGGAUCCGAGAUGUGGGCCUGGGGGUCGGAUUUGGCCAAUUUUGGGAUUUGUGUUGUAAUUUGAUUUCUUUCGAGUGAGCUUUGUUACCUUAGCAUAUUUUGAUGGGUUUGCACUAAUUUUGGUUAGAUUUGGAGCAUCCAAAGGCCGAUUCGAGAGGCAAAGGCAUCGCGGGCUAGAGUUUGGACCGGAUAGAGGUGAGUAAUGAUUGUAAAUAUUGUCCUGAGGGUAUGAAACCCAGAAUUUUACAUCGUUGUGCUCUAUUUGGUUGAGAUAAAAUAUUCAAUUGUUAAGUUCAUAGACUUCCUUUAGAGAAAACUAACGGAUACCCUUGCUGAAAGUUGGCAAAAAUCUUCGCCACUUGAUCAAGCGUUAUAUUACCAGAAGUGACUGAAAUCUAACAAUCAAGCUACAAUUAUAGAUUUCUUUCAUUAAAUUUGAAUUUUUUUUGUAUCCAAUUAGUUUUCCAAUAUAUAUGUGUAUUAGAUAGUUUAAUUAUUUGUAGGCACAAUAAAACUAGUUACCAUGGAUUUUAAUAAUACAUUAGCUUUUUUUAAAAAUUUAAUUUGUAAAAUAUGAAUAUAUUUUGAGAUUUUAAAUUUAAAUAUUUUAUUUUCUUUUAUUACAUAAAAUGUUUGAAAAAAUGACUAUUUUUAUAAUUUUGUAUGUAACAGUCAAACAAUAUCUAAAUGUAAAAUAAUAUUACAAGUGUAUAAUAAUCAUUUCGCUAAAGGAUAUACAAACAAACAAUAUUAUUAUAGAGAGAUUUGACUAUAAUUAAAAAACUUGGCUGAUAUAUUUUGUUUGUUAUUUAAUAAAAUUUAAAAUAUAAUAAAUUGGCAACAAUACAUUUUUAUUGUUGCCAAAACGUUUGGUAUUGUUGGUGAAACACUUGAUUUUCUCUACAACUAAUUACGUAUAUUUAGGGGCUACUGUGACAAUAUAUAUAUAUAUAUAUAAGAUAAUUUACUAAAAAUUUAUAAAUAUUUAACGAUAAAUUUAAUUAUGAUCAUAAAUUUACUUAAGGCAGUUGUAGGAAAUCAUAAACUUGUAUGGAGUAUUGAAUAAAAAAAUUAGGACCUAAAUUUUGGCGUAAUUUUUUUUGUUUCUUUUCAACUUUCCGCCAAAAAGCAAAUGCGACAAAACUUUUUUUUUCCUCAUACUUUUCACGUUGGCUCUAGGUUUUCUCCUUUCAAUUACACAGUUACAAUUGAAAUUUUUGUUUGGUAUCUCUCUUCAUGUUCCCACCUCAAAAUCUAGCUUACUUCUGAAGGUUAAUUUAUCUCCUCUUUUGUUAAUGUAUUUAUAUUGAAGAACAAUUUUAAGAAUUCAAACAAUCACUCAAAUUCUUUACAAUCUUAUUUAUUUAGGGGAUUUUGUUCUUCGUUUUGUGUUUUUGGGAAGAUUUUAAUCAUCCAAAGUCCAUCGAAGAUAUGUACAAAACAAUUACGCCUACUUUCUACUCCAAGGUUUGUGUUAGGGUUUCUCUUUUUGCUCCGAAUCGUUGUCUUUCCAUACAGUAAAUAAGUAAUUUUAAUUUGUGAUAGCCAUCUUGCUUUUGAGAAAAUGAGGAAUAGGUAAACAUGAAUCGACCAUUUAUGCUAAUUUUAAGAAUUCCUCUGUUAUGCUCUUACGUGAAUAGGACAAGUGCUUUGCUUUGCUAGUUUCCAAUUUUCACAAUUUUCCUAUCGUAUUGAUAUGGGUAGUGGGUAAGAUCAAGAAAUCUUUAUUCUUUCUUUAGCUCUUCCUAAAUUUCUUUUUGGUAUUUCUUUGUUAAGCAUAUGAUUUCCCAAAAUGUCAAAAUGGGUAUUGGGUAGUUGAAUAUAUUUGAAGUAUCACUUUAAGUUUUUCAUGAAAAAUUUUACUUUCAACAUUUUCUAACUUUAUUUAGUGUAUUUUGGUAGUUUAUGAUGUAACAUACAAUGUGCAUUUAGAUUAAAAAUAUGAGGAAAGAUAAAUAUCAUGUGUAACCUAUUAUAAUUGCAGAACUUGUUCAUAGUUUUGUUUUAUACUUUGCCAAUUACUAGGUACUAGUCAGCCAUAUUAAAAGUUAGAGCUAUAAUAGUUAUACCUGCGGUAACUUUUCUAGUAAACUUGGAAUCAGAUAUCCUAGAAAAACAGAGUAGAAUUGUCGUCGGUCUUCCUUUGACAACUCUUUCUAUAAGCUUAGUAGUCUAGCUAUAGAUUACAAUUGAAAGUUAACACCAAUCACCAAUUCAUAUCAGGAUUAUCUUUAGAGGGAAAGAUAAUAUUUUGAGAAAAUCUCAUCUUUGAGAUCCUUAGGCACUGUUGGAAGGAGGUUUAGCAGCAGUUGUUAUAACACUUUUGCUCGACAAGCUCAACACCACCAUUGGAUUAUCUCUUAAUCAUCAAGUGCUUUCAGAUGAAUCUUUUCGGAUUGUAUCUCUAUUUUCUUGAAAAAUGCUAUUUUUAUUCUUCCCUUUUUCUGCUUUUAAUUGCCUAAUGCAUAAAAUAGGGUAUAAAUUCAAAAAAUUAAUUUGGAAGUGGCUAAUUCUUAUUAACGUUUUAAGUCCUCUUUUCUGCUAAAUUUGUUGUAUUUUGCAUCAUUAGUUACCCUCAUUGAAGUAGUUGCUUCCAAUUUAGUCUCUUAGGAAGUGAAGGUGAACAAAAUAUAACAAGUCCAAGAGCCUCUCACAAUUUUUGUUUCACUUUAAUAUUUCUGGAUUUAUACUCUGGUUAUGUGAUUUAUAUGCAGUAAUAAUUUACAAACAACUGUAGUUACAUUUGCAAUGAAGAAAAAUGAAAGUCACUGUGUAUAAGAUGCUUGGAAGUAGGGGCAAGUAAGAAAACCAUUAUCGGCUCCAUUUUGGUGCUCAAGUGAAAUGUGUAGGUAUUAUUAUCAGCUUCCUACUGUUCUUGAUUUUUAUAUCCUAAUCAUUCUGUUUUUCUUGUUAUUAUCAGCUCCAACAAAUUUGUUUUCUUGUUCAACAUUUCGAGGGUCAACUGCCACCUAAUUUUUCCAACUCUUGAAUCAAUCAGGUAAAUUUACUACAAGUUACUAUUCUAUAGAGUAUUAUUUUUAAUUUGAUAUACUAUUCAUGGUUGAAGGAUUGAUUUGAUUUUUUAUAUAUAAAAUUACCAAUAAUUGCUAAACAUCCGUAGUUGCUACUAUAAGUAGAAGAGGAGGUAUGGAAAUAGGACUGUUAAAUAUUUUAAGUGCCUUUAAAACUGAGAAUUGGUGUAAGGGAUUAACAGAGUACUUAUACUUUAUCUUUCUUCUAGUUUGGGAAGCUAGAUGUGUUCAAGUCUUCUUGACCUUUGGAUUUAUGGAAAUAAUUUAGCUAUUUUGACAUUGAACAAAAAAG
rnacentral:lncRNA from 1 species